CAUCACCAUAAUUUUGCCUUUGAAGAAUAAAAUCUAAAUCUUUGUGUUUCAAAUGUUGGCAUAAAAUCCAAUACUUAGAGUAGUUAUAGACUUGUAUUCACACACACACACACACACACACACACACGUGUGUUCUUCUGGUUUGUUGCAGCAAGGAUUAGACAGCACUUGCACAGAUACGUGGGUUAAGGUGGCGCAUGAAGACACCAUUAGAAGGACACUUGGAAAAGGCGACCCAUUUUGCCAAUCUUCAUCAACCUUAUUGUAUUUCAGAUUCUGCAUCCUGGCCAGUGAUCACGGGGCAAGCUGGAGAGAAAUGGAACAGAGGAUAUCUCCCCCAAAAUAAGGCUUUUCUACAGAAAGAGGAGGAGGCUGGAGUACAGUGUUGUGAUCAUGGCUUACUACAACUUCCGCCUCCUGGGUUUAAGCCAUCCUCCCACUUCACCCUCCUGAGUAGCUUGGACUACAGGCAUGCACCACCAUGCUGGGGCAUUUACAGCUAGAACGGGAGAAUGUUUUGGAGGAAAGAAGGCAUUUCAUGCUCCGAUCACCUCCGUUUAUUAAAACCUCCAAUUUGUAUCUGUGCAACUCAACUUGUGAGCCUGGAACCAGGUUUACCCUUCUGAUGACCCUGAAAGGUAGGCAUCUGCAAUUUACAGAUGGAGACACGAAAGCUCAGGGUCUUGCAGCGGGUAACAGAGAUGCAGACAUGGGUUUGUCUAGUCUUCUCUCAGCAGGCGAAGGAAGGGAAGGUUUUCCUUGCUUGGUGUCUGUCUUGCCCACAAGAAUAUAAACACUCUCCGUGAGGGCAGGGACUUUGUUUUGUUCACCUCUGUAUCCCCAGUGCCCAGCACACGGUAGGUAGUCUGAACAUAUAUAUUCAAGGAAGGGAUUGCUAUCCUCUCAUCUAGGCAAUAAAUAUGUAUUAAAUGUCUCUUCUCUGUCCCCA
rnacentral:lncRNA from 13 species